GCUUCGGAGUGGAGGGCGCCUUCCGACGGCCGCCCCGCCACCCCGGGGCCGUCCCUUUUCCCUUGCGUGGGUCCGUGGGUCCGGCUGGCUCGAAGAUCAGCUCCCAGCAGGUGCCUGGUAGCAAGGAUCACCACCCACUGCAGGAACGUGGGCGUGGGAAGCAGCACUAUCAGAGAACUGCAGGCCUUCUUGCUCCAGCCCAGCCUUGACUUCUGCCGAUGGUACAC